GUCCCAGCAACGGCGAAACAAAGAAAAUAAUUCGCGACAGUCCGCAACAUUUCACGACCGUCACCAGCAAAAUUCCAAGUGGCCACGAACUAUCCUGAAGCACACCGAUGCCGUCGGCUCUCGUUGGAUAAGGGCUCAUCCAUCAUCGGGGAAUUGAUGACAGACCACAGGUUUAUGGAAAUCUCGUCGAAAUAUGUCGACGUAAUUGCGCUCGCACCGCCGGCGACCCCACAACUGCGUGAUGAGCAGAGGAUGCUGCGGAAGUUGUGGCCCACCCCCAUGUUGUUCGAUGCCGUGCGCACCACCCCCGUGUCCACCUUGCAUCGUCUGCAGGCCACCCUGUCCACCCCGAUGUCCCCCUAGACCAACGAAAACAGCAGUUUACCUACGGCCUUGUCCGCCUUGUCCACCGUGUUGCCCGCUUCCUUGCCCGCCAAAGGUGGUCGUAACCUGUCAUCCACCGCCGCCCCCCUGUCCCCCACCGCCGGCGUGCGUCACUUACGUUUGUACCAAGAAACUGGUUCCCUGUAUGCCCUGCCCGCCGCCCACGCCCCCGCCGUGCUCGCCGUGUCGACCAGUUUGCAUGCCCCGUCCUCCUUGCUGCUAGCGACCGCGCAUGGGAACAGGCGUUGGUCAACGGCCGCGCAGACGACACGAGCGGAGUCCAACGAGAACGACCGUUGGAUGCGUCCUAUAUCUUCGUGACAAUUCAUAAUUUAGGACCAAACCGAUCAUGACGAGGCACUUCCACGAUUCUGAGAUACCCGGACUCGACCCACGGAUUCGACGAAAUUCCCGAUUUUAUGCUUUUCCUGAUUUCGAAGAUCUACGUCGCGACGAAAAAUAUUUCUAACCUGGAUUCGACUACGACCGAACGCGUCUUAAACCGAAUUUCGAGGAGAUCGACGAUACAUAAUUUCGUCCUAAACGAGACCCCGUGUCGUCGUUUAGAAUUAUUAUCUAAACGAAUGUACGAGCGCCCAACGAGGAGACUAAACCCGGAUCGUCUUACCGGAAUCGACAAAAUCUUAAUCCGCAACGAACCGCGGAAACGAGGGAAAUUGUUAUUCGAUCGAUAUAGGAUGGACGACUAUAUUUUCAGAUUCUGCAUGCUUUCGAACGCUUGAUUCGCGAACGGGAUCGGUUCUCAUCGGUGCCUGGCCGCGGCUCGCGUCUACAAAACCAGUUUAUAUCAAAAUCAGUCUCGCGCGAACACCUCGAUUCGACUCCGGGCUGCCUCGAUUCAUGUUUUUCCCCCUUCUCCCCCAUGAAAAUGUGUACUCCGGCAAGCCGAAGUGACACGAGGUGUUCGGCGAUCCGGAACAGCAAUAGCAGCAGCUCGGCGAACCAAAACAGCCUGAAAUGAACACAGCCCCGAAGAAUCAACGCAUCCAAGCAUAUUCCAUCCAACGAACGUGUCUACGACUGGUCUCAGCGUUUUGUUAAGUUUGCGCGCAAAGAAAGCAGGUACCAUUCCUUUUUUUUUUUUAGUGUGAUUUUUUUAUGAAUCAAGUCACGUAGUCAAGAUUUUGGUACGAUUGCGGCAACGAGACGACUCGACUCUGUCGUAUCGCGUUCGAGACCGACGAAACUGCUGCCGGCGCACCGAGCAAUGAAAAUCCGGCAGCUCUUAGAACAGGAACGAUUCUACGAACAGGCGUGUUUGCGUGCGAGUCUGAGAACAGAUCGGUGUGUGCUUCUUGUAAAAACUAUACACUGAAUAAAAAUUGUAAAAUUCUCGGGGA